GCCCGGUUAGCUCAGUUGGUAGAGCGCGGGACUUUAAAUCCUGAGGUCAAGAAUUCAAGUCCCUUAUCGGGCG
rfam:Daphnia pulex DAPPTscaffold_58_Cont3082, whole genome shotgun sequence.